rnacentral:tRNA from 1 species
GGAAGAAUGGCUCAGUGGUAGAGCACCUACCUAGCAAGUAGGAAGCUCUGCCCUUAAUUCUUUUU